GGUCGUGGUCAGAUAGAAAUCGGAUGUCUGUUGAUAUGGAGGGGGGUGAUCACUCUAUUUCUGGAAAUUAUGAAGAGCUUCAAGUGGGUGAUGAAACGUUUGGUCUGAGUGGAUCAGCCCCAGAAAAUGAGGAAGCAACUGAUAUGGAAUUAGUAGCAGAGUACAACAAUGCAGAUGAAAUGUAUCCCAAGGCAAGUUCUUUUAGCAUUGAGAAAGAUGAGACUGAUGGAGAGCCUUCUAAGGUGUCUGAUGAUUUGACAAACUUGAAUUCUGGGAAUGAGGAGAUGAAAGACUACAAUCAUAGUCAUGAAACUGAGAAAAAAACUAUUCCUGAGGCCUUAACUAUCCAGCCCUGUGCAGUGGAGGGUGCUCUUUCUAGUAGGCAUGGAUCUGAUUUGCUAGCAUUCUGCAAAUUUGUGAAGGUCCCAACCAAAACACGCUCUGCAUUAACAUACAGGUUCCCCAAGGUUGACCAAGUUCAUAACAAGGAAGAGGACAAUGCAUCUGAUACUGGGCCUCCCAAAGGAUCCAAAAUCUCGGUUCCAGAUGGCGCUCUUGAUUUCUCCGCAGCCGAUUCACUACCAAAUACAAGUCACGAUUCAAAAUGCGAUCCUGAAAUGUCUAAAGGAGUGCCCGCACAUUCUAAUGUGGCUGUAGGAGAAUUUGGCUCCACAUAUGGUUCGGGGCAGGGUAAUAGAGCUUUUAUGCUUGACAGUGAGCAAGAAUUAGGUCAGGGGAUGCCAGGUUUUGGAAGGUCCACCUCGGUUAAGGAGAGAGGUGAGAAAGGAACUGCGGAAGACAGUGAUACUAACAAGGCAACCAAGAAGCCUAGAGAAUGGCUUU
rnacentral:misc_RNA from 1 species